ACGCGGGUUAACCCCCUACCCCACACCGCCCCCUGUCGGGCCCUGCCCUCCCCGGGCUCCGCCACGCACUGGGGCCAGAGGCCUUUAACUGCAGCUACCUCCCUUUAAGGGGAGGGAAGAGCCGAGAGGAGCCGAGACUCAGUGCGCUAGAGCGGGAAGGAGCCCGCAACGCGGGAGGCCUCUAACCCCCGAGGGGAAUGGAGGGUUCCCCCACCACUCUUUGGGAGCGUGCACAUGUGUGGAUACCAGCUGCUCCCUGCCUCCCUCAUUGAAGCGGAGUUGGCCUCCCCUCAUGAUUGCUGCUGUUGUCUCAUUGUGCAUAGGUGCUGGAACUAGAGGUGCUGUUACCUAGCAGCUCUGUGUUCUUGGGGAACCAGGGCACAGUACCCAGCCUGUCUGACUCACAAAAGACCUUCCCCCCUCAGCCUCUGCUUGAACCAAAGACGAUCAGAAGACAGACUUACAAAAAGCAAUGAAAAGGCAGGGAGAGACCCACCUAAACACCCCCCCCCCACUCCCCAGACAAGGGGAACAGGAUUAAGGAACCUCCCCUAACCUCAUUUGCAUCUAUUGCCUCAUUAGCAUACAGAAUGGAGAACAGAGAUUCCAAGGUAAGAACGCACGGAACUCUGGGACCGGAAAAGCAGGGAAGCAUUGCAUGAUGGGGAACCUCUGCUCCAGAUGUAAAUGAACCCACACCUGCAUUGUAGUUAUCAGACCAAUUCUAGUAAUAAAUCCUUUAUUGGUAUUCAAAAUAGCAAAGGUCCCUAAUUGCAUUGUGGGCUCCCUCCAAGGAACUCUGCCCAAAGCCAGGAAUGAUCAGCUCCCAUUGUCUAGCCUGAACAAAACAACUUUGGUAUGCUCCCUUGAGCCACCAGUUUAUCCAUAAACAAAUCUAGUGUUCUCCCUUGAACUAUUAUUGUUUCUCUACAAAAAACCUCUACCCAUGCUCAAGUAAGUGUUCUGAUGCCUGGAUCCAAAAUCUGCAUCAGUUCCAUUGGGACUUCAUCUUCUGACUGAUCAUGCUGGGAGCUCUGCCUGUCUCCAGCACUCCGGACCCUCAGCUAUCACCACCACCUGGGACCAGCGAACGAUUCCAGCUUCACGGAGUGGUGAGAACCCAGCUCUCUCUCUCUCUUGGUAUAGCCUUCGGACCCUCAUUUGUGUGAUCAGUUAUAGUUUUCUAAACCUGACUUUUAUAAUCAAAUGUAAGUUAGAUUUAAUAUUAUCAC